CACGGAGUUAGCCGGGGUUCUUUACCUGCUACAGUCAUUAUCUUCACAGGCGAAAGAGCUUUACGACCCUAAGGCCUUCAUCACUCACGCGGCAUGGCUGGAUCAGGCUUGCGCCCAUUGUCCAAGAUUCCCC
rnacentral:rRNA from 1 species